AUUGAACGCUGGCGGCAGGCCUAACACAUGCAAGUCGAGCGCCCCGCAAGGGGAGCGGCGGACGGGUGAGUAACGCGUGGGAACGUACCCUUUGCUACGGAAUAGCCUCGGGAAACUGGGAGUAAUACCGUAUGUGCCCUUCGGGGGAAAGAUUUAUCGGCAAAGGAUCGGCCCGCGUUGGAUUAGGUAGUUGGUGGGGUAAUGGCCUACCAAGCCGACGAUCCAUAGCUGGUUUGAGAGGAUGAUCAGCCACACUGGGACUGAGACACGGCCCAGACUCCUACGGGAGGCAGCAGUGGGGAAUCUUAGACAAUGGGCGCAAGCCUGAUCUAGCCAUGCCGCGUGAGCGAUGAAGGCCUUAGGGUUGUAAAGCUCUUUCAGUGGGGAAGAUAAUGACUGUACCCACAGAAGAAGCCCCGGCUAACUCCGUGCCAGCAGCCGCGGUAAUGUACAGUGU
rnacentral:rRNA from 1 species